UACGUAGGGGGCAAGCGUUGUCCGGAUUUAUUGGGCGUAAAGAGCGUGUAGGCGGCCUGACAGGUCUGCUGUGAAAACUCGAGGCUCAACCUCGAGAUGUCGGCGGAAACCGUCUGGCUAGAGUCCGGAAGAGGAGAGUGGAAUUCCUGGUGUAGCGGUGGAAUGCGCAGAUAUCAGGAGGAACACCGGUGGCGAAGGCGGGUCUCUGGGCCGAUACUGACGCUGAGGAGCGAAAGCAUGGGGAGCGAACAGG
rnacentral:rRNA from 1 species